AUUGAACGCUGGCGGCAGGCCUAACACAUGCAAGUCGAACGAGUGGCGGAAGGGUGAGUAAUGUCUGGGAAACUGCACGAUGGAGGGGGAUAACUACUGGAAACGGUAGCUACUACCGCAUACCAUCGGAUGUGCCCAGAUGGGAAUAGCUAGUAGGUGGGGUAACGGACCACCUAGGCGACGAUCCCUAGCUGGUCUGAGAGGAUGACCAGCCACACUGGAACUGAGACACGGUCCAGACUCCUACGGGAGGCAGCAGUGGGGAAUAUUGCACAAUGGGCGCAAGCCUGAUGCAGCCAUGCCGCGUGUAUGAAGAAGGCCUUCGGGUUGUAAAGUACUUUCAGCGAGGAGGCGUUACUCGCAGAAGAAGCACCGGCUAACUCCGUGCCAGCAGCCGCGGUAAUAC
rnacentral:rRNA from 1 species